rfam:Schistosoma rodhaini strain Burundi genome assembly, scaffold: SROB_scaffold0000012
AUUCAGCUGAUGAGUCCCAGAUUGGACGAAAUGAGCGUUCUGGAU